UUCAGAUUUACCAUAUAUUCAUGCACUGGAAUGCACACGCACCGACACCAUAUCCUGUCUGCCCUCUAAGUCAUCAACAGAAACAGAUGACAACCAGCUUUUCCUGGAGCUGAUCUCUCUCUCUCCUCCCUUAGAUGAGAGGCUGUUAGUGAGGGGGAGAGAGAGGGAGGGAUAGAGAGAGAGGCUCACAGACAGAGAUGUUUGUUUCCCAGCCCUUCCACCGUCUCUGUGGGACGACCCUCCCCAUCCACCCACCAACCAACCAACCCCCCCUCUCCCCAACCUAGUGGAUCAAACAAAGGACAUCAUUUGUAGGCCAAGUCUUUUUCUGAGCGUCUCUCUCUUCGGCUCUGCAUACCAAUCCAAUACAGCCCAAGGAAAAAAAGCCACGGCGUGAGAAGAAGAAAAGACAACAACAAGGCAGCGAGGGCUGCAGCUAAUGGAGAGGCUGUAAUUGUGAAUGGAGGCAUUCAUCUGGAGACGUCGUCCGUGAAUUGCGCCGCACAAUACGCAGCGCCGGGCUGCUCAGAUCACCAACCAGUCACCAAACACACACUGAUACACACAUAGAGACGCACACACUGAACCCCUUAGAUCACUGGUGCUCAGAGGAGGAACGUAAUCACACCUCCUCAGAGAGCAAGGCACCAAGGAGGGGAGGAGAGAAGGAGGACAGGAGCUGGGGGGGAGGAGAGCAAGAAGAGAGGAGAAAUUAUACAAGGAGUGAGGAGGAGAGGGAGGAGGAGGAGACGCGAUGGUGAAAUUGAUGUUUCCUACCAUUUGAUUUGGGCCAUAGAGCCCAGGAGGCAGAUCAGAUAGAGCACACACACACACACACACACACACACACACACACACACACACACACACACACACACACACACACACACACACACACACACACACACACACACACACAUAUAAGACACACACACCAAGACUGUGAUAUAGAGUACAUGCAUGCACACACAUACACAAACAUGUAAGAAACCAUACAACGAUUCAUGCACAUCUCUUUCUCACACACACAUCAUCACAGAGAUGCAAGUAAGCCUGCAUACACAUACACACUUUGACAGACAAGAAUACACACACAUAGACACAUUUAAACUAUACAUUAUAUAUAUUAUAAACAUUGUGCAUAUAACAUGCCAGAGCUCAGAGAACCAUCUCAGAAACCCCACGCUUCCCUCUACCUGCUGAAACAGUAAAACCCACACACAUCCUUCAGCCAAACAAACACCAUUAAGCCAAAACACACAGAAAUGCGUCUAAAAAAGACACAACAAAGCCUACGUGAGGGUAUAUAUAUAUAUAUAUAAAAAAACAACAACUCUCAUCUCGGCGAGGCAAGACGAGGCACCUGUCAGCGCGGCGGCUCCUGCUACUACAGAGAAACAUCAGGAAACAACAACUCAAUUAAACACACCAUCCCUGUUCAAUUACUGCCACAUAAUCACAGCAAUUUACCUUCACUUGCUGCACAGCCACCAAACAAACACACACGUGGGCAAGCACACAUACAGAGGCGGAGAAAAACGUACAAACACGCACGGAUGAGGCUGGAUCACAAAAGACACCCGUAGCUUCAUCCUACACAUCCUGAUUGUAAAGCUCGCCGUGUGGUAUCUGCUGGCAUAACAGAGAGAUGGAGGAUGGUGGAUGUCUGGCAGAGAACAAUAUAAGUGGACUGCUGAUUUACUGUAGCUCUAAAAACAAUUAAAUUUGCAAACAUAUCCACUACAGUAUAAAUGACAUCGUAAGUAUCACAGUUUCUGUCCUGUGAACGCAGCUGGCUGUACUUUAGGGUACGCAUAAGUACAUUUACGUAAGUGUUAUAAAUGUUUAAAUCGGUCUGAAAAUUAUAUCUACAAGUAGGUCAACUGUGAUGUAAAGGAACACAUCAGGGUUUGAGGGAAUUCUGCUUCUUCUUGAUAAGUAAUGAGAUCAUAGAUCAAAAUCAUCAAUAUGCAGCCAUUAUAUCAGGCCCAGUGAUCAUAGUCCCCAUAUUCUUCCUGUUUCUGACAUGAACCUUUUGAUUUUAAUCUUGUUCAUAACUCUGUUUUAGGGGACAGUUUAUUAGGUACACAUAACAAUAACAAAUGCGGUCUAUUACAACAGAGCUGCAAUAAAUUCUACCAAACAAGAAGGUUAUAAUGUUCAGUUUUUGUCAAAACUGUUUUAAAGAGGUGUUGAUUCAACUGUAUUAUCAUUUUGGAGGAUGUAGUUUUUGUUAAUCUGUAUUGCAUUAUACUAAGAGCUGUUUCUAAUAUUUUGUCUAACCUCAUUAACAUAAGGUAUGCUUCACUGCAGGGCUGUUGUGGACUGCAUUAGUUUUAGCUAGGUAUACCUAAUAAACUGCCAACUGUUUCCCUCUUUUACUCCAAUGAACUACAGAGGUGCGGGGGCUUUAACAGAGGACGCAGGGGUCAUAGAAAAUCAGUAUGCAUGGUUUACUUAGUAAUUUCUACUCCCACUGGGAUGUGUGUGUUCUAUAAUAAUCACAAAGUUGACUGUGAACAGGACAGAAAUCAUUAAAUCACCCCAGUGAAAACCAGAGGUCCUUGAGUAAUAUUAAACUGUCUGGACAGGGACUGUUUCUCACAUACCCAGGUUAGAAAUGUGACAUUCACAGGCUGCAUGCUAAAAUGUUAACAUUUACUGUGUUCAUGUCAACAGGCCAUUAGCCAAGACAUGUAGCAAUUCUAAAGCUACAGGAUAAGUAAUCUUAAAGGUCCAGUGUGUAACAUUUAGGAGGAUCUAUUUAGAUAUUUAAUAUAAUAUUCAUAGGUAUGUUUUAAUUAAGUAUAAUCACCUGAAUAUACAAAUCAUCUUUUUUGUUACCUUAGAAUUAACUGUUUUUAUGUACAGAGGGAGCGGGUCCUCUUCUAUGGAGUCCACCAUGUUGAACUGCCAUGUUUCUACAGUAGCCCAGAAUGGACAAACCAAACACUGGCUCUCAAUAGGGACUUGCGUUUUUCACGAGUUUUGCAGGCCACCAUAGUUUCUCCUACACACUCGGUUGAGUCAAGGGGUUUCAGUUUGUUGCAAUCUGCAAUACACCACUAGAUGCCACUAAAUCUUACACACUAGUCCUUUAAAUAACAUUGUGCACUAUAUGGCCUAAAAGAUAUUUGGACACACUUUUGUUACUUGAUGUGGAGUUUUUUUAUGGUUAGAGCUUGCCCACUUUGUUCCAUUUAAGAUCUGAUUGAAAAAUCACAAUUCAACAGCAUAAAAUAAUAUUUUACCUACAACUUUGAGGUAAUUGAAACGCCCUUUCCUGUUUCAAGAUGACAAUGCCCUCAUACACACAGCCAGGUCCAUAAAGACAUCCUUUUCUCAGUUAGGUCUGGAAGAACUUGACUGAUCUGCACAUAGCCCUUACCUCCAUCCCCCCAUCACAUCAGUGGCCAACCUCGCUAAUGCUCUUAAAUGGGCACAAAUCCCAUGCGUCUCAGAAGUCUACCGGUAUUAUUAUAUACGUGUGUAUAUACACACACACACAUAUAAGCAAAUAUAUAUUACAUUAUAUAUUGUUUGUUUAAUCCAUAAUGCAUACGCUUUGCAUAUGCUAAGUUUAGCUAAUUGCCUUCUGGCUAUAGCUAAAUAUUUUGUGUGCAGAUAUGAGAGGGGUAUCCAUCUGCUCAUCUAAGUUCCAUAAAAAGUGAAUAAGCAUUUCUUUAACGUAUAUAUUAAUAACACAAAAAUCUCCAAAUAGCAUUCAAAUAUAAUCUGCACACAGUAUAUCAUUAUGUGUGAAGUUCAGAGCCCAAAAAAACCCAAAUAAUGAUUUCAUUGGAGAAAAGACGAAGGAAUAGCAACACUGCACGAACCUGUGAAUGACUAGUGUGUGUGUGUGUGUGUGUGUGUGUGUGUGUGUGUGUGUGUGUGUGUGUGUGUGGUGCGUGUGUGGACAGCAGAUUGACUAACAGCUUGAACUUGGGUUAGAUCCAGGAGCACGGAGAGGGAUACAUGGAUGGAUGGAGAGAGAGGGAGAGAAGGAGGGGGAGAGCCAUUGAUUUCUCAACAGAGAGAUCAGCAUCUUGACAGAAAGAGACGAGAGGGCAACAGAGCAAGACACACACUCCACACAGACACACAGAUAGAGAGGUUUCCCACUGUGGCCCUCAGAUAAAUUCCACAACUUUCCCAUCUCCUCCCAGGUUUCUAGAACUGAUCUGGAGUGCUUGCAUGCUUCCUUGUGGUCUCGUUUUGAAUAAAGUUGGGCUAAAAUUCAGGUUUUAAUUCAGAUAAGCAGUGAAAAAGUUGCAAAAUAAAUCAAUCUGUGAAAUUUC